UACGAAGGGGGCUAGCGUUGCUCGGAAUUACUGGGCGUAAAGCGCACGUAGGGGGUUUUGUAAGUCGGAUGUGAAAUCCCCGGGCUCAACCCGGGAACUGCAUUCGAGACUGCAUUACUCGAGUAUGGGAGGGGGAAGCGGAAUUUCCGGUGUAGCGGUGAAAUGCGUAGAUAUCGGAAGGAACAUCAGUGGCGAAAGCGGCUUCCUGGCCCAAUACUGACACUCAUGUGCGAAAGCGUGGGGAGCAAACAGG
rnacentral:rRNA from 1 species